UACGUAGGAUGCAAGCGUUGUCCGGAAUUAUUGGGCGUAAAGAGCGCGCAGGCGGUAUGACAAGUCAGAUGUGAAAGAGGCCGGCUUAACCGGCAAGGGUCAUUUGAAACUGUCAGACUAGAGUGCAGCAGAGGAUAGUGGAAUUACCGGUGUAGCGGUGAAAUGCGUAGAUAUCGGUAGGAACACCAGUGGCGAAGGCGGUCUCUUGGGGCAUUCUUGACGCUGAGGCGCGAAAGCUGGGGGAGCGAACGGG
rnacentral:rRNA from 1 species